UAUAAUUAUAUAUAUAUAAUUAUAAUAAAUAAUUUUGACAAAUAAUUAGCGUGUUUAAAUGUUGAAUAGAGCAUCAGUGCAGUUUAGGCUACCUGUUGUUCUCUGCAAUUGUUGGAUACUUCUGUUGUAUUGCAGUGACAUUGAGGGUAAUAUUAUUAAUUAUAUAACACUAUCAUCAUAUAUAUAUAUAUAUAUAUUGAUAGACGGAUGUGCAUGUAAUUUGUUACAAAUUGAAUAUUUGCAAAUUAUUGUAUUAUUGUUCUGAGUUUUUUGUUGCACAUUGUCUGAUCUGUGAAAUUUCAGUUUCCAGUCAACCAUUUCCCUCUACUUAUCGCAAAGAGAAUACAUUUUUCUUUCUCUUAUUGACACUGAUAUAUAUCCAUUUACAUAAAUAUAUAAUAAAAUGUUAUACAUAUAUAUACAUGUGUGUCUGUGUGUGUAUGUAUAUACAGUUUCAUUAAAAGAUGCUGGAUAUAAGUAAUAAGAGAGAAAAUAGCUACUUAAAAAAUAAUUCAGAAAGAAAUGGAAGAUAAUCUGUUUAAAUCAGAAAAAAAAAUUGGGGAAACCAAAAAGAAAUUAAGGUUAACAGAAACUGUUAUAAAGUUGAAAUUCUUACUUUCAAUCAUUAGUGCAGCACUCUAACCAUUGUUAUUAAUAAUUCAUGACAAAAAACAAGCAGAAAACA